AAUGCCACACAUAAUUUCCUUAUUCCUAAUUUUCCACUCAAAUUUUGCAUGGAGUACAAAUAUACCGAUACCGUUAGUUGACCGCUAGUUGACCGUUAAGUAAGAGAUGAGAAGAUAAUUUUGUCCCUAGGUAGUAUGUCGAUUUUCCCUUUACAACAAGGUAUUCAUUUAGAUAACUUAUAAUUCCAGAUUUUUAAGAUUUCAGUAACACAUUGCCUUGCAGUGUGCGCACAUUUUGUGAUGCGGAGUACUAAUGCACUUUUAUUUUUAUAUUAUUAUCUAGUUUGAUCAUAAAGAGAACCGCUGUAGCAAAAAGAUUAUUCUUAAUGGCUAAAUAUGCAAUUUCAGAUAAAAGGACAUUUUGGUAUAAAAACAGAUGCCAGAACUUAAAUAGAAACCACGAGGGGAUACAAGUGUAAGAAUGAAAAUAUACGUCCAAGGACCGGUACGCAAAAUCUGAAAUUAUAAGUUCUCUAAAAUGAGUACUUUGUUGUAAAGGGAAAAUCAACAUACUACCGGGCAAAAUCGGCUUUUCAUUAAUUGCUUAAUGGUCAACUAACGGUACUAGCAGAUUUGUACCCAUGCAAAAUUUGAGUGGCAAAUUUGAAACAAGAAAAUUCUGAGUGGCAUUUGGACAAAUGGACAAAAUUUGAGUGGCAAAUAUGAAAUUCUGUAAGAAAAAAAAAAACACAUCUGCAAUGGUGGCUUUGGUGAUACAACACGCGGGUUGUCUUGUUUAGGGAUAGCCAGAACAGAUCAUUCAGGACACUUCACUAAGUCAAUGUCAAACAAUGGUUAACAUUUUGUUUGAGGAUGUAAUGAAGUCAGCCCCAAUGAUUAACUUGCUCAUAAACGUUGUCAACCAAAAUGUUUAGCUGCUGGG
rnacentral:lncRNA from 1 species